GAGGGGCGCCCGGCGAGCGCGGCCUCUGCCCUGGCCCCGGCCCCCGCCCCCUGCCCCGCCGCCCCGGCCCCGCUGGACCGGAGGCAGUCGCGGCCGACCCGGGCUGGCACCGCCUACGAGGCCCCGGGGACCUUAUGGGAAAGGCUUACAUCACCAAAGCCUUUAGAGAAACAGUCACCUUCACAGCUCGUACAUUCUGAGCCAAUGACUGCAUACCUUCACUGCAUGCUGCACAGACUCAUCACUUCCUGCUCUGGACUGCAGACAAUAUUUGCAAUAGCGAUGUGGCAGAGCUAAUUUUCUUUUGGCCAACAAGCCCAUCUUGACAAUUGACGAGAGAUCAAAAAAGGGCAUGGUGUUAAAGAGGACCCAGGCUGGAGAGAAGCAAGGGGAACCCAUCUUGUCACAAAGAAGAGUGUCCUUGGCUUUGACCUUGCAGCCCAUAUCAGUGAAUCCAUUUUCCUUCCACCAUAACAAGCAAGCUGCUUCUGGGCUGUGAAAUGAAUCUCUGGGAAGGACACUCUAACAACUGAUGGGUGAGUAGCUCAUCCUCGCUCAACAGUAAGAAUGCACUGCUGGGCUCCCCUGCUCCUGUUAGCAUCAAAAGGACUUCAAGGAUCUGGGCCACACAAAUCCAUCCAGAUCUGCAGUUGUGAUGGGCCCUCGAAGGGACAAUAAACUGACGUUGAUGUUGUGCCUGGUUAUGAGUUACUUAUGGGUAAGGCUCAUGAAGACCCCUGCCUUGAAAUCCAAUGCCAUCCAGAAUUCAUUCCUUCAUUCCCAGAUUGUAACUUUUAGCCUUCAUCUGUUCCCUGAGAGCCUCAUCCCAAUAUGUAACUAUUUGAGGAAUAUACCCCUUGGGUGUUUCCUCAAGGACAAAAUGCCACACUAAUAACCUUCUUCCCGACAUCCUCUCCUUACCCUGUAUUUUCUUUCCCGGU